rnacentral:lncRNA from 1 species
UAAUAUAAGAACUGCGAAAGUUCUGAAUAGUUUCAUGGAAACUAUUUCUGGGACAUGGCAGCUGGCGUUGCCGUUUCCUUUCAAAUCAAGGGAGGCGGUGGGAAUGAGGAGCGAGCCGCAAGAAAAAUCUCAUGCUGUCAACUGUCGCUUCAUUCACCGCCCUUCCCGUUUCCCUAAACGUGUCAAAAGGACACGCGCCGCCUCGGCUAAACUUUCAAAGCAAAUUGGGCACCGAAACUUUACUAUAGCAACUUUAUUAG